rnacentral:ribozyme from 1 species
UGCCCAGCAACUCCUAUCCCUAUCUCCUCGCGGAACUCGCCGGGGUACGAGUAACCUUAGGGAAGAUCGGGUAACCAACCCCCGGUGGGAACUUUGGUUGUAUGCUGACAGGGAACG